UACGUAGGGGGCAAGCGUUGUUCGGAAUCACUGGGCUUAAAGGGCGCGUAGGCGGCUCGCGAGGUCGGGGGUGAAAUCCCACAGCUUAACUGUGGAAGUGCCUUCGAUACCGGCGGGCUGGAGGAAGGUAGGGGUGCGCGGAACUUCUGGUGGAGCGGUGAAAUGCGUUGAUAUCAGAAGGAACGCCGGCGACGAAAGCGGCGCACUGGACCUUUUCUGACGCUGAUGCGCGAAAGCCAGGGGAGCAAACGGG
rnacentral:rRNA from 1 species